UCUAGAGGGUGUGACCGUGUCCAGUGCAGAUGAGCUGGAGUGUGGCCAGUACUACGUGGCAGUGGGAGCAGAGAGGUUCAAGAAGCUUCCCUAUGUGGAGUUGUCGGUUCCUAAAGCCACUGAGGGGUAUCGAUGGAAUUAUUAUCGUACAGAAAUUUGAGAGAAGCUGACAAUAGAACAGCUUUCAGACAGACAAGACUAAAGACUAGUGUGUGUAUUUUAUUCUAAAUAAAAUAUUGAAUUCUAUAUUAUAUGAAUUAUAUGAAAAAUAUUUCAAUUUUCCAUUAUUUUCCAGAAUUUACCCUGGAAUUAGAAGGCUGUCAAAGAGACAUGAGGGCAGGAAGGCAGCCAGGGGCCCUGAGGACAGAUACAGGGACUCUGCUCUCCUGGACUCUCCAGAGUCGGACGGACGGAGGGUGAAGUCAACGGGGGACGAAGUAGGGAAGAUGACACUCCCAGCCAUCCAAAGGAGACCAAAGAAGGAGGUGAGCGCUAUCUUCUACGCCAGACCAGUGAGGAACAGAGCCCAACCUAGGCCUCUGCCAAAGAGUGGACCAGUCCUCCGUUCCAGGACAGCAACCACCCGCUCCACUCGGCGUUCCAACUUCUACCCUCAGGUUCCAGAUGCAAACCAGACUAAAAAGCAACUGAUACAAGCACUCCUUUGUACCCACCGGCUAAAACAUGUUAAACACUUGGCCCAAGUAGGGAUAGGGAAUUAAAUGGUGCAGUAUCUGAUUUUCGCAUGCAUUCUAUUGCCUGAAGAAGAAAAAAAUCUGUGUACUAUGUGUUUUUUUUUAACAUGUUAUCCCUGCCUGCAACCAAAUUUCCCUCUGGGGAUUAAGUUUGAACUGUUAUUUCUUCCCUUAAGCAGUGUAAUUGGACCAUCUUUCACUUCUCUCCUUGAAAUGAUGUAUGAGGUAUAUUAUACUGAUAAAAUAUAUAAAUGCAACAUGUAAAGUGUUGGUCCCAUGUUUC